rnacentral:rRNA from 1 species
GACCUGCGGAGGGAUCAUUACAAGUGACCCCGGUCUAACCACCGGGAUGUUCAUAACCCUUUGUUGUCCGACUCUGUUGCCUCCGGGGCGACCCUGCCUUCGGGCGGGGGCUCCGGGUGGACACUUCAAACUCUUGCGUAACUUUGCAGUCUGAGUAAACUUAAUUAAUAAAUUAAAACUUUUAACAACGGAUCUCUUGGUUCUGGCAUCGAUGAAGAACGCAGCGAAAUGCGAUAAGUAAUGUGAAUUGCAGAAUUCAGUGAAUCAUCGAAUCUUUGAACGCACAUUGCGCCCCCUGGUAUUCCGGGGGGCAUGCCUGUUCGAGCGUCAUUUCACCACUCAAGCCUCGCUUGGUAUUGGGCAACGCGGUCCGCCGCGUGCCUCAAAUCGACCGGCUGGGUCUUCUGUCCCCUAAGCGUUGUGGAAACUAUUCGCUAAAGGGUGUUCGGGAGGCUACGCCGUAAAACAACCCCAUUUCUAAGGUUGACCUCGGAUCAGGUAGGGAUACCCGCUGAACUUAAGCAUAUCAAUAAGCGGAGGA